rnacentral:misc_RNA from 1 species
UUAACUAUUAUAUAGUACUCAGACAUCACUAAACAAACGAGUUUGGGUCCUCUGGCAGGCGCAGUUAGCCGGAGCCAACGCCUAGAAGGCGGCCUGCCAAAGCAACAAAGGUAUGUAUACACGGUUUGGGAAUAGAACCCAUUUCAAAAAACGGGGCAUUCUUUAAUGAUCCUUCCGCAGGUUCACCUACGGAAA